ACUUGAUCAAGAUGAACACAAAGAACAAGAGAGACAAAAUACAAGGAGGAGGAAUAUUGACUAAAAGUUUAUAUGGAUAACUUUAGAUAUGAACACCAAGAGAGAAUACAGAGAAAGCACUGUAUUAAAAGUAAUUUUCAAAGCAUU